rnacentral:rRNA from 1 species
UACGAGGGGGGCGAGCGUUGUUCGGAAUUAUUGGGCGGAAAGGGUGCGUAGGCGGUUUGGUAAGUCUGAUGUGAAAUCUAUGGGCUCAACUCAUAGUCUGCAUCGGAAACUGCCGGGCUUGAGUGUGGGAGAGGUGAGUGGAAUUCCUGGUGUAGCGGUGAAAUGCGUAGAUAUCAGGAGGAACACCUGUGGCGAAAGCGGCUCACUGGACCAUAACUGACGCUGAUGCACGAAAGCUAGGGGAGCAAACAGG